CUGUUACUUCUCGGUUAAGUACACAAUGAUACGAUAGUAUCUUUUUCUUUCUGCAACUUAUUUGGUCAAGUUGGCUGGUAUGAAUGACAGUGUCCAGAGAGUACCCAUGAAGAGAACUAGAGAAAACCUUGCACACAACCGGUACUAUUUGUUGUCAAUACUAAUAUUCAUAUUUUUUAUUUAUUCUGUAGGGUAAAACAAAUGAAGGGGUAGAACCGGACAGAAUUGAGUUCUACAAAGAUACUCAUUACUCAAGUGAAAAAGGCUGGUCAUCUCAAGAAGCUAAAGAUAACUAUAACGACAUGAAUGAUUUGAAAGCUCUAUAUAUAUAGCGAGGGAGAUUCGACUAUGACAAUUGAUGAAAUUGUGGAUGUUGUACUUGGUAAAAAGUCGGGAUAUUUAAAAGGUCUCGGUUAUGGUCCGAAACCUAAUACUUCUCGAGCAACGCAAAGGAGAACGGCAGAGUUAGAAGACUCUCUUAGAAAGGCGAAAGAGGAAGCUGCCAAUGCCCAAGAUGAUUUACAGAAACGAUUAAAUGCAGCUGAAGUUGUGGUAGAAAAUCAGCAAACUUAGAUACAAGACCAGCAGUCGCAGAUACAAUCAUUAAAUUCACAACUGAAUACUCUAUUGGCAUGCCAAGAUGAUAUUUCAAAACAACUACAACGUUUUAUGAGCUCAUCUCGAUCAAGUGAUCACUGAAUCCUAUCAAGUUAUCCAUUAAGGUUGUGGAAGGUGGAAAUCAAGAAAAGUUCCUAGAGAAGUGACUACAAUGGUAUUUUGAGAAGCAACCUCCAUUUUUUUCUUUGUUUUGUUGAUGUUUAGUAUGUUUUACAGUUACACUUUCAAGUUGGAUAACAUUACUUAAUAUUAGUUUUUAGGAGUAUUAGUUUUUCUUUUAGGAGUAUGUCAUGAGAUAGCAUCUCAAUGUCAUUUUGGUUGUUCUUAAUUACUAUGUGACAGUGUUUAAUUUUCUUAUUA